UACGGAGGGAGCUAGCGUUGUUCGGAAUUACUGGGCGUAAAGCGCACGUAGGCGGCUUUGUAAGUUAGAGGUGAAAGCCUGGAGCUCAACUCCAGAAUUGCCUUUAAGACUGCAUCGCUUGAAUCCAGGAGAGGUGAGUGGAAUUCCGAGUGUAGAGGUGAAAUUCGUAGAUAUUCGGAAGAACACCAGUGGCGAAGGCGGCUCACUGGCCCGGUACUGACGCUGAGGUGCGAAAGCGUGGGGAGCAAACAGG
rnacentral:rRNA from 1 species